AUUGGGAGGAUAUACUGAUAUUCAAACCAUGUGUUUGUCGGAAAAUGAGCUGGCAACUCAUAGGCAGUGGCUUGGUUAAGGGAACCCACUAGAGCCAUGACAAAAGUGAGUUUUCAUAGAGCAGUUAGCAUUGUUUAUGGACCUGAAUUUGCGUGUUCUAUCCAGGGCCAGGAUGAAGCUUGCAGGAAACUAAGUGGAUAUCCGAAGUGACCGAUUUUGGAAGUUUCAGGAGAGCCGUGGUUAUGGUUGAAAUGUCAAUUGAACCUAGAGCCAGCUGGUUUUCUAUAAAUGAGUCAGG
rnacentral:ncRNA from 1 species